UUGCUCCUUUGACGUUAGCGGCGGACGNNGGNNUNACACGUGGGUAACCUACCUAUAAGACUGGGAUAACUUCGGGAAACCGGAGCUAAUACCGGAUAACAUUUGGAACCGCAUGGUUCUAAAGUGAAAGAUGGUUUUGCUAUCACUUAUAGAUGGACCCGCGCCGUAUUAGCUAGUUGGUAAGGUAACGGCUUACCAAGGCGACGAUACGUAGCCGACCUGAGAGGGUGAUCGGCCACACUGGAACUGAGACACGGUCCAGACUCCUACGGGAGGCAGCAGUAGGGAAUCUUCCGCAAUGGGCGAAAGCCUGACGGAGCAACGCCGCGUGAGUGAUGAAGGGUUUCGGCUCGUAAAACUCUGUUAUUAGGGAAGAACAAAUGUGUAAGUAACUGUGCACAUCUUGACGGUACCUAAUCAGAAAGCCACGGCUAACUACGUGCCAGCAGCCGCGGUAAUACGUAGGUGGCAAGCGUUAUCCGGAAUUAUUGGGCGUAAAGCGCGCGUAGGCGGUUUCUUAAGUCUGAUGUGAAAGCCCACGGCUCAACCGUGGAGGGUCAUUGGAAACUGGGAAACUUGAGUGCAGAAGAGGAAAGUGGAAUUCCAUGUGUAGCGGUGAAAUGCGCAGAGAUAUGGAGGAACACCAGUGGCGAAGGCGACUUUCUGGUCUGUAACUGACGCUGAUGUGCGAAAGCGUGGGGAUCAAACAGGAUUAGAUACCCUGGUAGUCCACGCCGUAAACGAUGAGUGCUAAGUGUUAGGGGGUUUCCGCCCCUUAGUGCUGCAGCUAACGCAUUAAGCACUCCGCCUGGGGAGUACGACCGCAAGGUUGAAACUCAAAGGAAUUGACGGGGACCCGCACAAGCGGUGGAGCAUGUGGUUUAAUUCGAAGCAACGCGAAGAACCUUACCAAAUCUUGACAUCCUUUGAAAACUCUAGAGAUAGAGCCUUCCCCUUCGGGGGACAAAGUGACAGGUGGUGCAUGGUUGUCGUCAGCUCGUGUCGUGAGAUGUUGGGUUAAGUCCCGCAACGAGCGCAACCCUUAAGCUUAGUUGCCAUCAUUAAGUUGGGCACUCUAAGUUGACUGCCGGUGACAAACCGGAGGAAGGUGGGGAUGACGUCAAAUCAUCAUGCCCCUUAUGAUUUGGGCUACACACGUGCUACAAUGGACAAUACAAAGGGCAGCUAAACCGCGAGGUCAUGCAAAUCCCAUAAAGUUGUUCUCAGUUCGGAUUGUAGUCUGCAACUCGACUACAUGAAGCUGGAAUCGCUAGUAAUCGUAGAUCAGCAUGCUACGGUGAAUACGUUCCCGGGUCUUGUACACACCGCCCGUCACACCACGAGAGUUUGUAACACCCGAAGCCGGUGGAGUAACCAUUUAUGGAGCUAGCCGUCGAAGG
rnacentral:rRNA from 1 species